AUUGAACGCUGGCGGCAGGCCUAACACAUGCAAGUCGAGCGGAUGAAGGGAGCUUGCUCCUGGAUUCAGCGGCGGACGGGUGAGUAAUGCCUAGGAAUCUGCCUGGUAGUGGGGGAUAACGUCCGGAAACGGGCGCUAAUACCGCAUACGUCCUGAGGGAGAAAGUGGGGGAUCUUCGGACCUCACGCUAUCAGAUGAGCCUAGGUCGGAUUAGCUAGUUGGUGGGGUAAAGGCCUACCAAGGCGACGAUCCGUACUGGUCUGAGAGGAUGAUCAGUCACACUGGAACUGAGACACGGUCCAGACUCCUACGGGAGGCAGCAGUGGGGAAUAUUGGACAAUGGGCGAAAGCCUGAUCCAGCCAUGCCGCGUGUGUGAAGAAGGUCUUCGGAUUGUAAAGCACUUUAAGUUGGGAGGAAGGGCAGUAAGUUAAUACCUUGCUGUUUUGACGUUACCAACAGAAUAAGCACCGGCUAACUUCGUA
rnacentral:rRNA from 1 species